rnacentral:rRNA from 1 species
ACGAACGCUGGCGGCGUGCUUAACACCUGCAAGUCGAACGGAAAGGCCCUGCUUUUGUGGGGUGCUCGAGUGGCGAACGGGUGAGUAACACGUGAGUAACCUGCCCUUGACUUUGGGAUAACUUCAGGAAACUGGGGCUAAUACCGGAUAGGAGCUCCUGCUGCAUGGUGGGGGUUGGAAAGUUUCGGCGGUUGGGGAUGGACUCGCGGCUUAUCAGCUUGUUGGUGGGGUAGUGGCUUACCAAGGCUUUGACGGGUAGCCGGCCUGAGAGGGUGACCGGCCACAUUGGGACUGAGAUACGGCCCAGACUCCUACGGGAGGCAGCAGUGGGGAAUAUUGCACAAUGGGCGGAAGCCUGAUGCAGCAACGCCGCGUGCGGGAUGACGGCCUUCGGGUGGUAAACCGCUUUCGCCUGUGACGAAGCGUGAGUGACGGUAAUGGGGAAAGAAGCACCGGCUAACUACGU